UACUGGUUAGCAGCUGUAGCUUGGUGGGCUGAUGUCAAAGUUACUGAUUCAGCUUUUCUAGGCUUAUUGGAGGUCCUUGUAACAUGGCCUCAACCUUCAGGCUUAUGUGAAGGGCCAGAUUUCUGUGAGGUCUCUGGUAAGCACCUUUACCAUGCGGGGAUGAUGUCAGGAAGCUUACUUCUGUGAUGUCUCUUGUUCAGAACUGCUAACUCGCUGGGCUGAAGCCAAGACACAGACCUUUAUGAAGUGUCAAAUCAUCAGUCACUCUGGAUCAACAUACUCUGAGUGAUUAGUGCUGGUUGGGGAUUUUCAAAUGAAAUUUUUUUUCCGUCAGAAAAUACAGAUUCCUCAAAACUGAAACAUUUUAUGGGAUUGUAUCAGUUUAGACAAACCUUUAAUUGGGAAAGGUGUCUCAGGUCUGGGAUGAACUUUCUGGUCAAAACAAGAUAUGAACUCCCCAGAAUAGCCAGUAGGGUUGGCAGUACAAGUAAUAGCAUCAUGAGCAUCCUGCAGAGCGCUACAGUAGAAGCAGACUGCUGGCUGCAGGAGAGGCUGCCAGCCAGGCCCUCCUCUCCAUUGUAGAGAUGGCUCAUCUAGACCUAUCCUGGUAAUGAGCCUUUAGGGGACACCUGCUUCAUAUUUUCAAAGUUUUCUCUCUAACCCGAG